rnacentral:tRNA from 1 species
GGAGAGUUGGCCGAGCGGUUGAAGGCGUACGUCUUGAAAACGUAAUUUGGUGAUGAGCCAAACCAGGGUUCAAAUCCCUGACUCUCCGCCA